CAUAAGCUGGAUCCGUCCCACGCCGAAGCACGUCUCCCUGCAUGCACAUCACUGAUGCACGUUUCUUCCCCCCAUUUUUUACUAGGGUUUUCAACAACGCCACACACUUAAUUUCACUAAACUUCUAUUUGCACCUAAAUCAUCUUCCCCAAGCUAGGGUUGCCGCCGCAUGCAGUAGCCAUCCUUCUUCCUCAUUAACCCCACGUAUAUUCACCACCCCGGCCAGUCCCAACCAGUAUUGCAUGCACGCACGGCCAUUAACAGCCGCUGCCACCAGCCUCCAUCUGGUAGCCCCACCGUAGUGCCCCCUGCUCAGCCACCGUAGCCACUGCAGAAGCUCCACGCACGGAACCGCAACGUCAAGCUUGCGGUUGUUGAGAAACACCAACCCGAAAGUCAGUCCCUUUGCGUCCAACCGUCAGCCCUUGGCGGCCUGGCCGUGACUACCAAACCUCACUGCCCACCCUGCCCCUCACCCACUCGUGGUGCCACCACCGUAACCCAGCCGCAAAUCCACAGUGCAAGGCUCACGUCGAAGGCUCUGUUUUCACCAUACCGAAACAGAGCAUCCUGAAGAUCAUUGCUCCCGAUUCCGUUAGGCGCCGCCAGCCUCGGCACGGUGAAGUCCAGCUCUCCGGCGUGUUCACCUCAGCCGCAUAGCUCCGCCUGAGUGCCCCCUGCACGCCUCCAUCGCUCUCGUCCUCUUCCACCUCGCCGACCAUCCACGACCGCCGCUCGUUGCCUCUCUCGGUGAGUCCUCUGGUGCCUGGCCACACAACCAAACGGACGUACGUAGGCCGAUUGCCAAAUCUGAAAAAAAUAAGGAAUGUCGUGGAAAGCAAAAGGUGGUUCACAGUACAGGCUCCAAAAGCUAUACUCGAUAUGCUAGUGAGUGGGAAAAAAAAACCGGCGCCUUGCCAAGUCGAGCACAAUUAUUUGUAAAUACUCACAAACGUAAGAACGGCACACAUUUGAACAAUGAAACAAAAAAAAUAGUGACUGAAAUGGAGGAGCUCCUUACCCAAGACCCCACCUCUAGACUAGGGGGCACUGGAGGGACCAUGACUUGGGCUACUGAUGAUAUUUACUCUAAGGUCAUGGGCCCAGAAUGUCAUGGCCGAGUGCGCGGUUUAGGUUUUGGGCAAACCACAAAAAAGGGGUGCAGCACGUAUUCAACAUCUACAUUAACAUCCAAUGAUAGUAGCCAAAUUGCCAAUAUGCAAUCGGUGAUGGAGAUGAUGCAGAACGAGUACCAUUCAUAAUGAGAAUGGAGAAAAUAGGAACUGCGAUGCAGAGAACCACAAUGAAAAUGAAGAAGAAGUGGAAGAGGAUGAUGAUGAUACUGAUGAUGAUGACGAGGGAG